UAGAAUGAAACUGUUAUAGGUGCCGAUAAAUUGGAGAAUAGGGAAUUAGGUGAAAAUCCUAAGCGAACCCAUCACUGUAAGACGGAGCGAACGCAUAUGCCACUGGGAAACUGGGAAGGCGCGAUCAGCGUUGAUGUUGAGCCAGGAGACCUGCCUGUAAUUGAAUCAAUGG
rnacentral:ncRNA from 2 species